UAUUUUGUAAACAUUGACAUUGUUAUUGUAAAUUGACAAGUAGUUGGUAGUUUGGAAAAAUUCUGAAGUUGAAAAUUUCCAAAAGUUAAAAAGUCCUUCGUUAAUUUUUUGAAAAUUGCUAACAAUGUUCUACUGAUUUCGUUCGUCCUAUAAGUGCCAAUGUAAAAUCUGUUCAGUAAAUGUGGUGCAUGUCCAGCACCAACUUACUGCAUGAGAAAUGCUUUAACACAGAAACAGAAGAGAGUUUUAUGGGAAACGUGUGUAUACCUACCUAGACAGAAAACGAAAGAUGUGUAUUUCAAAUCUUACCUCUUCAGUCAGUAGUGUUAAAAGAGAAGAACAACCUGUUGGAGGACAAACAGUGAUUAUAGAAGCCGCCAGGUGAAAGGCUUAAUUAUCGUCCAAUGGCCAGCAAAAUAAAGGGAAAGGAAUUCGGGGUUUUGAAACCGGUAGAAAAAAUCGGACAUUCAGAACUAGAGGAGCCAAUAUGUAGGCGGUAAUAAUUUGGACACGUUUCUGAAAACUGGAUAAAGGAAAUAAAUUGAGCUUGGAAAAACGGUCCUGGAACACAACAAACUGAAACCAUUURURUUACAAGCUUUGAUGUUAARUUACUCGAAAGACUCGAUGAAAUGAAUCUGCAAGCAACAAGUGGACUCUGUUUAAUAAGAUCAAUGUCAAUAUUGUGCUAGAAGGAGGUUUGAUUAAUUGUUGUGAGUUUUUGUUAAUUUGUAAGUGCAAUAAAAAUUUGCACAAAUAAAGUAUGAUUAAUUUUUAA